GACGAACGCUGGCGGCGUGCUUAACACAUGCAAGUCGAACGGAAAGGCCCUGCUUUUGUGGGGUGCUCGAGUGGCGAACGGGUGAGUAACACGUGAGUAACCUGCCCUUGACUUUGGGAUAACUUCAGGAAACUGGGGCUAAUACCGGAUAGGAGCUCCUGCUGCAUGGUGGGGGUUGGAAAGUUUCGGCGGUUGGGGAUGGACUCGCGGCUUAUCAGCUUGUUGGUGGGGUAGUGGCUUACCAAGGCUUUGACGGGUAGCCGGCCUGAGAGGGUGACCGGCCACAUUGGGACUGAGAUACGGCCCAGACUCCUACGGGAGGCAGCAGUGGGAAAUAUUGCACAAUGGGCGGAAGCCUGAUGCAGCAACGCCGCGUGCGGGAUGACGGCCUUCGGGUUGUAAACCGCUUUCGCCUGUGACGAAGCGUGAGUGGCGGUAAUGGGUAAAGAAGCACCGGCUAACUACGUG
rnacentral:rRNA from 1 species